rnacentral:tRNA from 1 species
GGGCCUGUAGCUCAGCUGGUCAGAGCGGGGGACUCAUAAUCCUUAGGUCGCAGGUUCGAGUCCUGCCGGGCCCACCA